rnacentral:rRNA from 1 species
GAGCUUGCUCUUAUGAAGUUAGCGGCGGACGGGUGAGUAACACGUGGGUAACCUGCCCAUAAGACUGGGAUAACUCCGGGAAACCGGGGCUAAUACCGGAUAACAUUUUGAACCGCAUGGUUCGAAAUUGAAAGGCGGCUUCGGCUGUCACUUAUGGAUGGACCCGCGUCGCAUUAGCUAGUUGGUGAGGUAACGGCUCACCAAGGCAACGAUGCGUAGCCGACCUGAGAGGGUGAUCGGCCACACUGGGACUGAGACACGGCCCAGACUCCUACGGGAGGCAGCAGUAGGGAAUCUUCCGCAAUGGACGAAAGUCUGACGGAGCAACGCCGCGUGAGUGAUGAAGGCUUUCGGGUCGUAAAACUCUGUUGUUAGGGAAGAACAAGUGCUAGUUGAAUAAGCUGGCACCUUGACGGUACCUAACCAGAAAGCCACGGCUAACUACGUGCCAGCAGCCGCGGUAAUACGUAGGUGGCAAGCGUUAUCCGGAAUUAUUGGGCGUAAAGCGCGCGCAGGUGGUUUCUUAAGUCUGAUGUGAAAGCCCACGGCUCAACC